UACGGGGGGGGCAAGCGUUGUUCGGAAUUACUGGGCGUAAAGGGCUCGUAGGUGGCCAACUAAGUCAGACGUGAAAUCCCUCGGCUUAACCGGGGAACUGCGUCUGAUACUGGAUGGCUUGAGUUUGGGAGAGGGACGCGGAAUUCCAGGUGUAGCGGUGAAAUGCGUAGAUAUCUGGAGGAACACCGGUGGCGAAAGCGCUCUGCUAGGCCGCAACUGACACUGAGGGACGAAAGCUAGGGGAGCGAAUGGG
rnacentral:rRNA from 1 species